rnacentral:rRNA from 1 species
CAACUUGUGAACUGCAGGACACAUGAACAUCGACAUUUCGAACGCACAUUGCGGUCCUCGGAUACUGUUCCUGGACCACUCCUGGCUGAGGGUCGUA